rnacentral:misc_RNA from 1 species
GAAAUGCGAUAAGUAAUGUGAAUUGCAGAAUUCAGUGAAUCAUCGAAUCUUUGAACGCACAUUGCGCCCGCCAGUAUUCUGGCGGGCAUGCCUGUCCGAGCGUCAUUUCAACCAUCAAGCCCCCGGGCUUGUGUUGGGGACCUGCGGCUGCCCGCAGGCCCUGAAAACCAGUGGCGGGCUCGCUGUCACACCGAGCGUAGUAGCAAUCACCUCGCUCAGGGCGUGCUGCGGGUUCCGGCCGUUAAACAGCCUUACAAAACCCAAGGUUGACCUCGGAUCAGGUAGGAAGACCCGCUAAACUUAAGC